ACAAAUGAAGAGAAGAAGAAAAAAGUUCAAAGCUGAGAUUUGAUAGGAAACAGAAAAAUAAAUGGCAAGCUAGAACUACACAAGAACCAUAACAGAGCUAGCUAGCAGAGAGAAUAAUGCCCAAUAGAACCGAGAUUGUUUUUGACAAACCUGGCAGGGAAUAUUACAAGCAGAAGAGAUAAUUAAACAGAAGUACAAUAUAACCUCACCACCACUUCAAAAUAUCAACCACCCAGCUGAAAAAAUCAAGAAAAGCAAGA
rnacentral:misc_RNA from 1 species